rnacentral:lncRNA from 1 species
AUGGUGUCAGAAUGGCACAGACUCCCCAGCUUUUUCACAAAACCCUUGUCCUUAAGGUACUUAGUACAUCUCAAGGCUGGAUUGCUGUAUGGUCCAAUUUACAGAAAAGUGCUAUUUUUCUUUGCACAAGUCAUCAUCCAUAUCAUCCUACUCCUACUUCUGCUGCACCAAUCUGCAGGUAGUUACUUUGGUUGCCAAAAACUUCAAUGCGGAAAAUGGUCUCUGUACCCACCCAUUCAGCCCAGAGAGAAGAGUUCCCUUCCUUGUUCCAUGUGGUGGAGGGUCACUCAGUCUUUUUUUGGAAUGAGCUCCUGGAGAAACUGCAAGUUCACAGAAAACAGCCACAAAAUUUUGAAUACUAACAAAUCUAGGCCUUGGGAUUCUGAGUGAUGUGGAUUUACUACUCCAUUUUAAUUAUUUUACUAGAAUUCAGUAUAAAUGUUAGAUCUGAAACAUCACAAAUGUUCCAGGUAAUACAAAUACAAAAUAAAAGGCUAUGGGAGGUUAUGUUUAAGGAGAAU